UGGUCUUCCUAUGUUGCUGAGGCUGGUCUCAAACUCCUGGGCUCAAGUGAUCCUCCCACCUUGGCCUUCCAAAGUGCUGGGAUUAUAGUCAUGAGCCACUGCGCCUGGCCAAGGAUUUUGUACUUGGUUUUCCAAGCAGAUUUUUAAAGGGCCAGUGGAAACGCUGCAUGUCACCUGCUGUCACCCAGUCUGACCACAGCACAUAAUUUCAAGAAUGAAAAGCCUCAUUCAGACACAUGGCCUUGCAAAGAGAAAACUGGGUCUUGUCAAUGUGAUGGUCUAAGCUAACUGUGUAGUAUAUGUGGGAAUCCAGCCACCUCUCUUUGAAGAUCAAAGCACUUCAAAAGCUCCAUCCUGUUCAGACCUAUGGGACUGAGUCUUGCUCUGUUGCCAGGCUACAGUACAGUGGCACGAUCUUGGCUCACUGCAACCUCUGCCUCCUAGGUUCAAGUGAUUCUCCUGCCUCAGCCUCCUGAGUAGCUAGGAUGACAGGCGGCAUUGAAGGAAUCAAUUUACUUUUCCACAGUAGUGUCCCGUUGCUGUGAAUGUCCUUGUCAACUCUUGGAAUGAUCACAUUUACAAAUUUUUACCAAGCAUGUAGGUCCGCCAAAUCCGGAAGAAGAUGAUGGAAAUCAUGACCCAAGAGGUGCAGACAAAUGACUUGAAGCAAGUGGUCAAUAAACUGAUUCCAGACAGCAUUGGAAAAGACAUAGAGACGGCUUGCCAAUCUAUUUAUCCUCUCCAUGAUGUCUUCGUUAGAAAAGUAAAAAUGCUGAAGAAGCCCAAGUUUGAGUUGGGAAAACUCAUGGAGCUUCACGGUAAAGGCAGUAGUUCUGGAAAAGCUACUGGGGAUGAGACAGGUGCUAACGUUGAAUGAGCUGAUGGGUAUGAACCACCAGUCCAAGAAUCUGUUUAAAGUUCAGACUUAUAAUAGUGGCAAAUAAAAAGUCUUAUUUGUGAAA